rnacentral:ncRNA from 1 species
UAUCCUGGACGACCUGGAUAAACGUCAAUCUCAUCGGGGACGGCCCCA